rnacentral:lncRNA from 1 species
GGAGGAUAUUAGCCCUUUGUCAGAUGAGUCUGUCAGAGAUGUGAAUGUAUAUCCAAUGGCCAUUACCUCUCUUGUGGCAGUCGAUGCUAGCUACAUGCAACAGAAAUUCAUUUCUCCAAGUGCGAAUAACAGAAAAUGUUGAGACUUUCAAGCCCUUUUGGGAGUAACAGUAUCCAAUUGAGAACACCACAUACACCUAGUCAUCAUGUCUCUUCAGUCAGAGGACACAGCAUUUAAUGUUGAAUGCUAAAAAAGAAUUUCUGAGUCUUUCCAAGAGGAAACAAUGUUGGAAGAACCCCAGGAGUCUGUCUUCCCAAUUGCCCUGUUUUCUACUUCUCCUAAGGAUGAGAUGAGCAUUAUUCUCAAUACCAAGAGGUGAAAGCAACCCAAAUGUCCACUGACAUAUAAAUGGAUACAGAGAAUGGAGUAUAUACAUACAGUGGAAUAUUACUUAGCUUAAAAAGAGAAGGAAAUUCUGUCAUGUGCUAUAACAUUGAUGAACCCUGAAGACAUUAUGGUAAGUAAAAUAAGCCCAGUCGCAAAGAGACCAACACUGUAUGAUUCCACCUGUAUAAGGCAUCUAAAUUGGUCCAACUCAUAGAAAGCAGAAUUGUGGAUGUCAGGGGCUGUGAGGAAGGGGAAAUAGAGAGUUGUUUUUCGAUGGGUAUAGAGUUUCAGUUUUGCAAAAUGAAAAACUUUUAGAGAUCUAUUGCACAACAAUGUGACUAUUGUUAACACUAUUGAACUAUACACUUAGAAAUGGUCAAGAUGCUAAUUUUUAUGUUAAACAUGUUAUGUUAAAAUGUGUUUUCUACCAUAAUUUUAAAAAUAAAUAAAUAAAUUAGUUCUGUGAACGCGACAAAAUAUCGAUUAUUGUUUUAUCUUGGUGAUUGGUAUAUCUAGUACUACUUUAAUUUUGUGUCUAUAUCAAAAUUUUUUUAAUUUUUAGGGAAAAAGAAAUUUGAAAGAAUUAUGACAGAGUAUUAAUAUCUGUUCAUUCAGGGAAGGGAGCAAAUGGGUGUUUUCUGUGUGUUUGGAAUAUCUCAUCAUUGAUAAAAUCCAAAAGUAAUAGCAGUAGCCAACUGGCAACAUAGAACCUUAAGUUUACCCAGUUUGAAUCUAUGGGUCAUAAUUCUCAAUUAUCUGGAGAGACAAUCAUAUUAACUAGUCCAGUGAGACCAGUGGAGAUUAUAUAAUCCAAAUAGAGUUGUACUGGGGAAGUGGGGUCAGUUCUGAGAGGAGCGAUAUGGGCUUUUAGAGUUUCCAGAAAAAUGUUUGCUACAGAUUAAAAGGACAAGGAUUUUCACGGUAGAUUAAAAAGUUUGGUAAUAUGGCCUGGAUGUUUCAUAGCUUGAUGCCACUAUCUAGUUGUGCCACUAAGACAUCCAGAGACUCUUAUGCUAGUUUUUUCACUUCUCUGAAAGAGAAAAAAAUGCUUGUAGACUUCCAAGGUGUCUAUCACUAUACUCUGAUAGCUGAAGAUUAUAAAUAAUAUUUUUAUUUAGGAACUGUUAACAAAGUUGUCAGUUAUCUUUAUGACCUAGCCAAGAUAACUCAUUAGCUUUUAUACAAUGUGAUUAUUGAAGACAUAAAAAAGCUACAAAAAAUUAGCUGGGUGUGGUGGCAGGGGCCUGUAAUCCCAGCUACUUGGGA